rnacentral:RNase_P_RNA from 1 species
GCAGAUGUUUGUGGUGCAGCUGUCCGCCGGAGCCGCAAGGCGAAGGCGGGUGGAGGAAAGUCCGGACUGUACAAGACAAGGAUAGCGGUUAACGGCCGCCGGGGGCAACCCCAGGAUUAGAGCAACAGAGACGAGACAUGCGGUUCGCCGCAUGGGUGAAACGAGCAAUCUCUAUCCGCAGCAACCCCAAAUAGGUUCCCAUACGCGGGUCUUGACGCGGGAACGGGUAGGGGGCUUGACGCCCGCGGCAACGCGGAGCGCAGACGAAUUGCAUCACGCGACAAAAUCCGGCUUAUAGAGCAUCUGUAAAA